rnacentral:lncRNA from 10 species
CUUGGGUUUUAUUAAUUUGCUAGAGCAGCUCACAGAACUCAGGGAAACACUUUACUUACAUUUACUUGUUUAUUAAUAAAGGAUACAGACAAACAACCAGAUGGAGGCGAUACUUAGGGCAAGGAAUGGGAGAAGGGGCACGGAGCUUCCAUGAUCUUGCUGGGCAUGCCUCCCUCCAGGAAUCUCCAUGUGGCCAGCUAUCUGGAAGCUCCCAGAAUGCUGUGCUUUUGGAGUUUUAUGGAUGCUGCAUUACAUAGGCAUGAUUGACUAAAUAAUUGAUCAUUGAUCAUUAGUUGAUAACUUAGUUAUCAACUCCUUGGGGUUUGGGGCUGAGAGUCUCAGUCCUCUAACCAUGCCUUGAUCUUUCUGUUGACCAGCCCCUGUCCUGAAGCUGUCCAGGGGUCCCCAGCCACCAGUCGUCUCAUUAGCAUACAAAAGACACUCUUAUCACUCCAGAGAUUCUAAGGGUUUUAGGAGCUGCACAUCAGAACAUGGGGAAGAAAACCAAACAUGUAUUUCACUAUAUCACAGGUGCCAAGACAAUUUAAUGGGGGAAAGAUCAGUAUUUUCAAGAAAUGGUGCUGGAACAACUGGUAGCCAAAUGCAAGAGAAUAAAGUUGAACACUUACCGCUAUGUACAAAAUUAACUUAAAAUGGAUCAAAGACCUAAGUAGAAGAAUUAAAACUAUACAACUCUAGGCUGGGUGUGGUGGCUCACGAUUUUAAAGUUAUCCUUUUGCUGGUUUCAUAAAUUCUUUUUU